rnacentral:rRNA from 1 species
UACCAGCUCUCCGAGUUGUGGGGACGAUUAUUGGGUCUAAAGCAUCCGUAGCCGGCUGGGCAAGUCCUCUGUUAAACCCAGCGACAAAUCGUUGGCUUGCGGGGGAUACUGCUUGGCUAGGGGGCGGGAGAGGCCGUCGGUAUUCUCGGGGUAGGGGUGAAAUCCUAUAAUCCCGAGAGGACCACCAGUGGCGAAGGCUGUCGGCUAGAACGCGCCCGACGGUGAGGGAUGAAAGCUGGGGGAGCGAACCGGAUUAGAUACCCGGGUAGUCCCAGCUGUAAACGAUGCAGGCUAGGUGUUAGGGCGGCUACGGGCCGCUCUAGUGCCGCAGGGAAGCUGUUAAGCCUGCCACCUGGGGAGUACGGCCGCAAGGCUGAAACUUAAAGGAAUUGGCGGGGGAGCACCACAAGGGGUGAAGCUUGCGGUUUAAUUGGAGUCAACGCCGGAAAUCUCACCGGGGGCGACAGCAGAGUGAAGGCCAGAUUGAAGGUCUUGCCAGACGAGCUGAGAGGAGGUGCAUGGCCGUCGCCAGUUCGUGCCGUGAGGUGUCCUGUUAAGUCAGGCAACGAGCGAGACCCGCAUCCCCCGUUGCCACCAGCCUUGAGCUGAGCACACUGGGGAGACCGCCGUCGAGAAGACGGAGGAAGGAGCGGGCCACGGCAGGUCAGUAUGCCCCGAAUCUCCCGGGCCACACGCGAGCUGCAAUGGCAGGUACAAUGGGUUCCGACCUCGAAAGGGUAAGGCAAUCUCUAAAGCCUGCCGUAGUUGGGAUCGAGGGUUGAAACUCACCCUCGUGAACAUGGAAUCCCUAGUAAUCGCGUGUCACUAGCACGCGGUGAAUACGUCCCUGCUCCU